UCUUUUUCUCCUCCUCUGAUCAAGCUCUGCC
rnacentral:piRNA from 1 species